ACUCUUGUGGUGUAAUUGGAAACACACCUCCUUUUAGAGGACAAGAAGGGGGCUCAAAUCCCUCAUAGAGUU
rfam:Picea glauca, whole genome shotgun sequence.